rnacentral:rRNA from 1 species
UAACUUUCAACAACGGAUCUCUUGGCUCUCGCAUCGAUGAAGAACGCAGC